AUUAAGCACUUUUGAAGGUAGGAACUUGUCUGAGGAGCACUUCAGGCAACAGCUGAAAAACUUGCCAUUGGUUUGGUUUGCUCUGCUUGUGGGUGUGUGUCUUUCUGCGUGUCUGUCUGAGUACCAUCAUGGUAGGAGCAUGUGAGCUUUCUCCUCCUCGUUCCAGGUGUUUCCCAUCUUCAGGAGUGAUAGCUCCUUGAUAAUGAUGGUACUGAUGAAGCCCCAAACAUAAAUGCCACUGUUAAACACUCUGUUGGCAGGAAUUAGAUCGUGUAGUGCCGUUACCCGGGAAGUGUGGCAGCGAGCCCUGGAAUUCGCUGCCUCCUCCGUCACUGCAGGGAGCCUGCACUGCCUCUUCAGCCAGGCACUGACAGGGAUGAAAGAGGAGAUUCCCAGUUUGCCACUUGGGACCCUGCUGGCUCCAGGACCGGGAGGAUAAUGUGAAGCAAGCAGGCUGCCCUAAGCGCAUUCCUGAGCCUCAUGGCAUGGGUUCCUCCUCCUGGUGUUAGCCAGCAUCUUAUCAGGCUCGGGAGAGGUGUGACAGCACUGGUUAGCAGCAGUUGUACAUUCUGCCGGAUCCAUUUUAUUGAGAGCAGUUUUAAUUUCAUAUGGUACAUAUGUACUGGCAAACACUGCUAGCGAUGCUUACAAUGCUCUGGAGAUUUUGCCGUGUGAGCAAACAGAAGCGAAAUGACAAUUAGAUAUUGUCUAACACUAGCAACAGCACAGCAGGUCCAGAACUUCAUGUCAGUCAGAGAGAAACCUUGUUUACUGGAAGCCGGCCACGCAUUGCUGUAUAGAUCUAGCCAAAUCCCUGGCAGAACAGACCAGCUAGACCUGUUGCUCCCUGGUAAGAAUAGAGGCUUCCCUGCAGUGCAAUUCCUUGACAGUUUGUGGAGUGCAGCUGCAGGAAGCCUCUUCCCAUAGGUCUGUAGUGCCUGCUGAAAACAGAUGGGGCUGAGCAGCAUCGCUCCCGAGUGCCCCAUCUGCCCCCAACCCUACUCAGAGCCACCCAGAGCUCUGGUCCCCGUAUUCCUGCUUUCUGCUGGGAAUCUGCUGCAAAUAGAAGAGCCUCAGAGGAAGAUCUUCAGUGAUUCACAGAAAGCGGCAUCCUCUGCUGACGCCGCCCCACCUCACAUGUUGUAUCCUACAUUCAACAGGAGUGCAUGCUAUGGGGAGUUUUGAGCUCUAGCAAAGAAAGAUAACAAAAUCCUAAAUGCCACCCCUUGCCAUAAUAGUGAUGCUUUCAUUACUCUCAAAUAACAUAGCAGAACAUUUCAGUUCCAAUAAGUGGGCAAACAGCAAUAAAAAACACUGAAUUUUGUCAUUACA